GGAACAACCGGCUUAUAAGUUUCAGGAUUGGUGAACAUUGAUCUCAGAGCAAGUAGCACCUUUGAGAUUGUUAACGCUGGACUCCAGUUCUCUGUUAGGAUGUCCAAGCUAACAUUGCCGGAAGGAUCUACAUUACAAUGAUAUAUGCGAGUUUUGAAUACAACCUUUGGAGGUUUAAAUGGAUAAUCAGAAGGAAAGGUUAUAUCAAGAAAAAAUAUUCCACCCUCAUAAGGUGUUCCAGGUGGUCCAAAGAGAGUAGCAACCCAAUGGUAAAGAUUAUCUCCUUUAGGUCCAGCUGCACAAUCUGGUGGUGCUUCCAUGCUUAAUUCUGUCAUUUCCUUCUGUAUUCUCUUCCCUGAUGUUGAUACCGACGUCGUCGACGACCAUGUUCUUCCUCCUCCUCUUCCUACGCCGCCGCCGCCGCCGCCGAUUGCUAUUCCGCCGGAGGGAGCUCCGCUGUACAUUUUUA
rnacentral:misc_RNA from 1 species